GCUGAGUUAGAACAAGUGUGCGUGUGUGUGUGUGUGUGCGAGGGUGCCAAUGUGGUCUGGCACUCCACCGUAACUGACAGCCCGGGUGUUGCUGUUGGAAUAGUCUCUGAAAUUAAUGCCCAUUUGUAACUUAGAAAAUGUGAAGCUGGUAGAU
rnacentral:lncRNA from 1 species